rnacentral:rRNA from 1 species
AUUGAACGCUGGCGGCAGGCCUAAGACAUGCAAGUCGAGCGAGAAAGCCCUUCGCGGUGAGUACAGCGGCGGACGGGUGAGUAACGCGUAGGAAUCUACCCAGUAGUGGGGGACAACUAGUGGAAACGCUAGCUAAUACCGCAUACGCCCUAAGGGGGAAAGCGGGGGGAUCUUCGGACCUCGUGCUAUUGGAUGAGCCUGCGUAAGAUUAGCUUGUUGGUGGGGUAAUGGCUCACCAAGGCGACGAUCUUUAGCUGGUCUGAGAGGAUGAUCAGCCACACCGGGACUGAGACACGGCCCGGACUCCUACGGGAGGCAGCAGUCGGGAAUAUUGCGCAAUGGGGGAAACCCUGACGCAGCCAUGCCGCGUGUGUGAAGAAGG